GGACGCUUAGCUCAGUUGGUAGAGCAACUCGUUUACACCGAGAAGGUCCGAGGUUCAAGUCCUCGAGCGUCCA
rnacentral:tRNA from 1 species